ACAGUCACACAUUAGAUACCCCCGUAGUCCCAGCCGUAAACUAUGCGCGUUAGGUGUAUCGGUGACCACGAGUCACCGAGGUGCCGAAGGGAAACCGUGAAACGUGCCGCCUGGGAAGCACGGUCGCAAGGCUGAAACUUAAAGGAAUUGGCGGGGAGCACCACAACGGGUGGAGCCUGCGGUUUAAUUGGACUCAACGCCGGGAAGCUCACCGGAUAAGACAGCGGAAUGAUUGCCGGGCUGAAGACUCUGCAUGACUAGCUG
rnacentral:rRNA from 1 species